GACGAACGCUGGCGGCGUGCCUAAUACAUGCAAGUCGAGCGGACGGAUCGAAAGCUUGCUUCUGAUUCGUUAGCGGCGGACGGGUGAGUAACACGUGGGCAACCUGCCCUUUAGACUGGGAUAACUCCGGGAAACCGGUGCUAAUACCGGAUAAUACUAAGUAUCGCAUGACUUUACGUUGAAAGACGGUCUUACUUUUCCCUAUAGAUGGAGCCGCGCGGCAUUAGCUAGUUGGUAAGGUAACGGCUUACCAAGGCAACGAUGCCUAGCCGACCUGAGAGGGUGAUCGGCCACACUGGAACUGAGACACGGCCCAGACUCCUACGGGAGGCAGCAGUAAGGAAUCUUCCGCAAUGGACGAAAGUCUGACGGAGCAACGCCGCGUGAGUGAAGAAGGCCUUCGGGUCGUAAAGCUCUGUUGUUAGGGAAGAACAAGUAACUCAGUAACUGUCGACACCGUGACGGUACCUAACGAGAAAGCCACGGCUAACUACGUG
rnacentral:rRNA from 1 species